UACAGAGGUCCCAAGCGUUGUUCGGAUUCACUGGGCGUAAAGGGUGCGUAGGUGGUGAGGUAAGUCGGAUGUGAAAUCUCCGGGCUCAACCCGGAAACUGCAUUGGAAACUACCUUGCUUGAGGUUUUGAGGGGGGACUGGAAUUCUCGGUGUAGCAGUGAAAUGCGUAGAUAUCGAGAGGAACACCGGUGGCGAAGGCGAGUCCCUGGAAAACACCUGACACUGAGGCACGAAAGCUAGGGGAGCAAACAGG
rnacentral:rRNA from 1 species